rnacentral:rRNA from 1 species
CCUACGGGAGGCAGCAGUGAGGAAUAUUGGUCAAUGGGCGCGAGCCUGAACCAGCCAAGUAGCGUGAAGGAUGACUGCCCUACGAGUUGUAAACUUCUUUUAUAAAGGAAUAAAGUGAGGCACGUGUGCCUUUUUGUAUGUACUUUAUGAAUCAGGAUCGGCUAACUCCGCGCCAGCAGCCGCGGUAAUACGGAGGAUCCGAGCGUUAUCCGGAUUUAUUGGGUUUAAAGGGAGCGUAGAUGGGUUGUUAAGUCAGUUGUGAAAGUUUGCGGCGCAACCGUACAAGGGCAAUUGAUACUGGCAGCCUGGAGUACAGAGGAGGUAGGCGGAAUUCGUGGGGUAGGGGUGAAAGGCUUAGAUA